AAAUAGAGCCAUGGUAGUGAUGAGAGGUAGGAGGAUGGAGAACAACCUCUACAGGAUGAAAGAAUAUAUGGUGAUAGGAGAUCUGAUGCAGCAGUAGCAGCGCAGGACCAGCAGGGGGCUCAUCGAUUGUGGCACUACCGCCUAGGCCACAUGGAAGAUCGUGGGAUGAAGAAGCUGAGCGAGCAUGGUCUGAUUCCAGAUCUAGAUGGAGGU
rnacentral:lncRNA from 1 species